AUUGAACGCUGGCGGCAGGCCUAACACAUGCAAGUCGAGCGGAUGAGAGGAGCUUGCUUCUCGAUUCAGCGGCGGACGGGUGAGUAAUGCCUAGGAAUCUGCCUGGUAGUGGGGGACAACGUUUCGAAAGGAACGCUAAUACCGCAUACGUCCUACGGGAGAAAGCAGGGGACCUUCGGGCCUCGCGCUAUCAGAUGAACCUAAGUCGGAUUAGCAAGUUGGUGAGGUAAUGGCUCACCAAGGAGACGAUCCGUAACUGGUCUGAGAGGAUGAUCAGUCACACUGGAACUGAGACACGGUCCAGACUCCUACGGGAGGCAGCAGUGGGGAAUAUUGGACAAUGGGCGAAAGCCUGAUCCAGCCAUGCCGCGUGUGUGAAGAAGGUCUUCGGAUUGUAAAGCACUUUAAGUUGGGAGGAAGGGCAGUAAGUUAAUACCUUGCUGUUUUGACGUUACCGACAGAAUAAGCACCGGCUAACUUCGUGCCAGCCGCCGCGGUAACAC
rnacentral:rRNA from 1 species